rnacentral:rRNA from 1 species
AUACGUAGGGGGCAAGCGUUGUCCGGAUUUAUUGGGCGUAAAGAGCGUGUAGGCGGCCGCACAGGUCCGUUGUGAAAACUGGAGGCUUAACCUUCAGACGUCGAUGGAAACCGUGCGGCUAGAGUCCGGAAGAGGAGAAUGGAAUUCCUGGUGUAGCGGUGAAAUGCGCAGAUAUCAGGAAGAACACCCGUGGCUAAGGCGGUUCUCUAGUACGGUACUGACGCUGAGACGCGAAAGCGUGGGGAGCGAACAGGA